ACAUGCAAGUCGAACGGUCAGAUGGGAGCUUGCUCCCUGAUGUUAGCGGCGGACGGGUGAGUAACACGUGGGUAACCUGCCUGUAAGACUGGGAUAACUCCGGGAAACCGGGGCUAAUACCGGAUGGUUGUUUGAACCGCAUGGUUCAAACAUAAAAGGUGGCUUCGGCUACCACUUACAGAUGGACCCGCGCGCGCAUUAGCUAGUUGUGAGGUAAUGGCUCACCAAGGCAACGAUGCGUAGCCGACCUGAGAGGGUGAUCGCCACACUGGGACUGAGACACGGCCACACUCCUACGGGAGCCAGCAGUAGGGAAUCUUCCGCAAGGACGAAAGUCUGACGGAGCAACGCCGCGUGAGUGAUGAAGGUUUUCGGAUCGUAAAGCUCUGUUGUUAGGGGAAGAACAAGUACCGUUCGAAUAGGGCGGUACCUUGACGGUACCUAACUAGAAAGCCACGGCUAACUACGUGCCAGCAGCCGCGGUAAUACGUAGGUGGCAAGCGUUGUCCGGAAUUAUUGGGCGUAAAGGGCUCGCAGGCGGUUUCUUAAGUCUGAUGUGAAAGCCCCCGGCUCAACCGGGGAGGGUCAUUGGAAACUGGGGAACUUGAGUGCAGAAGAGGAGAAUAGAAUUCACGUGUAGCGGUAAAUGCGUAGAGAUGUGGAGGAACACCAGUGGCGAAGGCGACUCUCUGUCUGUAACUGACGCUGAGGCGCGAAAGCGUGGGGAGCGAACAGGAUUAGAUACCCUGUAGUCCACGCCGUAAACGAUGAGUGCUAGUGUUAGAGGGUUUCCGCCCACUAGUGCUGCAGCAAACGCAUUAAGCACUCCGCCUGGGGAGUACGGUCGCAAGACUAAACUCAAAGGAAUUGACGGGGCCGCACCAGCGGUGGAGCAUGUGGUUUAAUUCGAAGCAACGCGAAGAACCUACCAGGUCUUGACAUCCUCUGACAACCCUAGAGAUAGGGGUUCUUCGGGGGCAGAGUGACAGGUGGUGCAUGGUUGUCGUCAGCUCGUGUCGUGAGAUGUUGGGUUAAGUCCCGCAACGAGCGCAACCCUUGAUCUUAGUUGCCAGCAUUCAGUUGGGCACUCUAAGGUGACUGCCGGUGACAAACCGGAGGAAGGUGGGGAUGACGUCAAAUCAUCAUGCCCCUUAUGACCUAGGCUACACACGUGCUACAAUGGGCAGAACAAAGGGCAGCGAAGCCGCGAGGCUAGCCAAUCCCACAAAUCUCUUCUCAGUUCGGAUCGCAGUCUGCAACUCGACUCCGUGAAGCUUGAAUCGCUAGUAAUCGCGGAUCAGCAUGCCGCGGUCAAUACGUUCCCGGGCCUGGUACACACCGC
rnacentral:rRNA from 1 species